rnacentral:lncRNA from 1 species
UUCCACUCCUCAAACGACGCUUCGAGAAGGCCAAUCAAUGCAUUUAUUGCCCUCUGAUAAGAAUCUUUUCCUCGAUCGAGGUGACGACUUGACUUCCGUCACCUGAUCUGGAAUGUAGCUCGGCUUCAUAAAUAGAAGGCAAGUGAUGGAAGAAAUAUUGAAAACCUCAAUCUCGAACUAAACCGACCUCGACGACCUCGGUACAAACCAAGGUAUGCAACUUCAGCUCCAACCGACCAAGGUGAGCAACUUCACCUCUGACCAAGAAGCCAAUCGACACGUGCCGACAAGGACCGACAGUCCUGGCAAUCGGCUGUCGUAACAACGGCUGGCCAUUGUAACAAUUUUGCAUUCGGUGCGCCGUCUAUACUGUACGCCGCCCAUAUCAAGGUCGUCUUACUGGUCGCCAUAUGACCAUUGGGGAACGCCGACCUAGAUAACGACAAAUCCAACUCUCCUAUAGAGAUAGUUUGAGGGACCUUAGGUAUGCAAUGACAUGCACUAUGCAAUGACACGUACUACGCGAUAUCAGAACCACACUCUGCUGAAAUUUUCUUCCUUCUACACUAUUGUCUCUCUAUUCUGACUUAGACAUUGAAAAAUUCUCCACCGGAAACUCUCUGGCAAAGAAACUUCUUGCAAGCUGUCCUCAGAGGAGACUAGCGUCUAACACCUCAACCAGCCUGCUCAACUCAUCUCCAGCCGAUCUUAGGAUUGUUCGAACUACACUCUGACCUUGGUUAAGAUUCGACGGCAAUAUAUUGAAUACUUAUACAUGACCAAGGAAACCAAAAAUUACCUUCUUAGCUAACUUUUUUUUUAUAUGAGGUCCUGGAUUAUUAGAAUGGCAUCAUAGUAGAUCCUACUCAUGAUCUACGUGGACUAGAAGAUCCUGUAGCAAAGAUCCAUUUAGAUUGACCACAAUCGUGGUGUCCAUGAAAAAAAGUGGAAGA